ensembl:snoRNA Snord86 small nucleolar RNA, C/D box 86
GAUUACAGUGAUGGCUGACCAGGACUACCUGACCUAUAGAGGCCUCUACUAUGGGAGUGAUGGCCAGUCCUAGUGUCUGAGUGAUU